GAUGAACGCUGGCGGCGUGCCUAAUACAUGCAAGUCGAGCGAACAGACGAGGAGCUUGCUCCUCUGACGUUAGCGGCGGACGGGUGAGUAACACGUGGAUAACCUACCUAUAAGACUGGGAUAACUUCGGGAAACCGGAGCUAAUACCGGAUAAUAUAUUGAACCGCAUGGUUCAAUAGUGAAAGACGGUUUUGCUGUCACUUAUAGAUGGAUCCGCGCCGCAUUAGCUAGUUGGUAAGGUAACGGCUUACCAAGGCAACGAUGCGUAGCCGACCUGAGAGGGGGAGGGGCAAAACGGGAAGUGAGAAACGGUCCAGAAUUCUAAGGGAGGCAGCAGUAGGGAAUCGUCCGAAAUGGGAGAAAGAUGGACGGAGAAAAGCCGGUUGAGUGAGGAAGGUAUUCGGAUAGGAAAACUUUGUUAUUAGGGAAGAACAAAUGUGGAAGUAACUAGGCAAGUCUUGACGGUACCGAAUCAGAAAGCCACGGCUAACUAAGUG
rnacentral:rRNA from 1 species